rnacentral:rRNA from 1 species
UUAGGAAUUUUGCGCAAUGGGGGCAACCCUGACGCAGCGACGCCGCGUGGAGGAUGAAGGUCUAAGGAUCGUAAACUCCUUUUAUGAGGGAAGAAUAAAUGACGGUACCUCAUGAAUAAGUGACUGCUAACUACGUGCCAGAAGCAUCGGUGAUGCGUAGGUCACGAACGUUAUCCGGAUUUAUUGGGCGUAAAGAGAAGCGUAGGCGUUUUAGUAAGUCUUUUGUUAAAAACCUUGGCUUAACCAAGGGGUUGCAUUGGAAACUGCUAAAAUUGAGAUAGGAAGGGGCUAAUGGAAUUCUCGGUGGAGUGGUGAAAUACGUUGAUAUCGAGAGGAACACCAGCGGCGAAGGCGAUUAGCUGGUCCUUAUCUGACGCUGAGGCUCGAAAGCGUGGGGAGCAAAACGG